UACGAAGGGGGCUAGCGUUGCUCGGAAUUACUGGGCGUAAAGCGCACGUAGGCGGAUUGUUAAGUCGGGGGUGAAAUCCUGGAGCUCAACUCCAGAACUGCCUUCGAUACUGGGAAGCUCGAGUCCGGGAGAGGUGAGUGGAACUGCGAGUGUAGAGGUGAAAUUCGUAGAUAUUCGCAAGAACACCAGUGGCGAAGGCGGCUCACUGGCCCGGUACUGACGCUGAGGUGCGAAAGCGUGGGGAGCAAACAGG
rnacentral:rRNA from 1 species